UACGUAUGGUGCAAGCGUUAUCCGGAAUUACUGGGUGUAAAGGGAGCGUAGACGGCUAAGCAAGCCAGAUGUGAAAGGCAUGGGCUCAACUCAUGGACUGCAUUUGGAACUGUAUAGCUAGAGUGCCGGAGGGGUAAGCGGAAUUCCUAGUGUAGCGGUGAAAUGCGUAGAUAUUAGGAGGAACACCGGUGGCGAAGGCGGCUUACUGGACGGCAACUGACGUUGAGGCUCGAAAGCGUGGGGAG
rnacentral:rRNA from 1 species